UACAGAGGGCUCAAGCGUUGUUCGGAUUCACUGGGCGUAAAGGGCGCGUAGGUGGCAUGGUAAGUCGGAUGUGAAAUCCCGGGGCUCAACUCCGGAACUGCAUUCGAUACUGCUGCGCUAGAGUACUGGAGAGGAGAUUGGAAUUUACGGUGUAGCAGUGAAAUGCGUAGAUAUCGUAAGGAAGACCAGUGGCGAAGGCGGAUCUCUGGACAGUUACUGACACUGAGGUGCGAAAGCGUGGGGAGCAAACAGG
rnacentral:rRNA from 1 species